rnacentral:rRNA from 1 species
UGCAAGUCGAGCGGAACGACACUAACAAUCCUUCGGGUGCGUUAAUGGGCGUCGAGCGGCGGACGGGUGAGUAAUGCCUAGGAAAUUGCCUUGAUGUGGGGGAUAACCAUUGGAAACGAUGGCUAAUACCGCAUAAUGCCUACGGGCCAAAGAGGGGGACCUUCGGGCCUCUCGCGUCAAGAUAUGCCUAGGUGGGAUUAGCUAGUUGGUGAGGUAAUGGCUCACCAAGGCGACGAUCCCUAGCUGGUCUGAGAGGAUGAUCAGCCACACUGGAACUGAGACACGGUCCAGACUCCUACGGGAGGCAGCAGUGGGGAAUAUUGCACAAUGGGCGAAAGCCUGAUGCAGCCAUGUCGCGUGUAUGAAGAAGGCCUUCGGGUUGUAAAGUACUUUCAGUUGUGAGGAAGGGGGUAGCGUUAAUAGCGCUAUCUCUUGACGUUAGCAACAGAAGAAGCACCGGCUAACUCCGUGCCAGCAGCCGCGGUAAUACGGAGGGUGCGAGCGUUAAUCGGAAUUACUGGGCGUAAAGCGCAUGCAGGUGGUUCAUUAAGUCAGAUGUGAAAGCCCGGGGCUCAACCUCGGAACUGCAUUUGAAACUGGUGAACUAGAGUACUGUAGAGGGGGGUAGAAUUUCAGGUGUAGCGGUGAAAUGCGUAGAGAUCUGAAGGAAUACCAGUGGCGAAGGCGGCCCCCUGGACAGAUACUGACACUCAGAUGCGAAAGCGUGGGGAGCAAACAGGAUUAGAUAUCCUGGUAGUCCACGCCGUAAACGAUGUCUACUUGGAGGUUGUGGCCUUGAGCCGUGGCUUUCGGAGCUAACGCGUUAAGUAGACCGCCUGGGGAGUACGGUCGCAAGAUUAAAACUCAAAUGAAUUGACGGGGGCCCGCACAAGCGGUGGAGCAUGUGGUUUAAUUCGAUGCAACGCGAAGAACCUUACCUACUCUUGACAUCCAGAGAAGCCAGCGGAGAAGCAGGUGU